ACUCCUACGGGAGGCAGCAGUGGGGAAUAUUGCACAAUGGGCGCAAGCCUGAUGCAGCCAUGCCGCGUGUAUGAAGAAGGCCUUCGGGUUGUAAAGACUUUCAGUCGUGAGGAAGGUAGUGUAGUUAAUAGCUGCAUUAUUUGACGUUAGCANGAGAAGAACACCGGCUAACUCCGUGCCAGCAGCCGCGGUAAUACGGAGGGUGCGAGCGUUAAUCGGAAUUACUGGGCGUAAAGCGCAUGCAGGUGGUUUGUUAAGUCAGAUGUGAAAGCCCGGGGCUAACCUCGGAAUAGCAUUUGAAACUGGCAGACUAGAGUACUGGUAGAGGGGUGAGAAUUUCAGGUGUAGCGGUGAAAUGCGUAGAGAUCUGAAGGAAUACCGA
rnacentral:rRNA from 1 species